CGGCGGGCGGAGCCCCGCGCCGCUGCCAGGACUGCCCGCCCAGCUUGGGACUCCGCGGCGGGUCUGCACACCCGAGGACUCGAAGGGUACUUAAUCGAAACUAGCAAUCCCAGGCGGUACAGGGCCCUCCAUUGUAGGCAAAGCACCACCUGAAUGUAGAUUUGGGGCCAUACAUUGGAAAAUAAGACAUGAGAGUAUGCUCCAAUCCACCUUUACUGUUUACUGGACAGCUAUUUUGGAGUUUCGCUCUUGUUGCCCAAGUUGGAGUGCAAUGGCGCG